CUCCAGUGAUGAAGGCCAAGUUUGGCCAGUGGGCAAAGAAGAAGUGUGGACAGGUUCCAGCACUAGUAUCAAAAAUCAGGACAAAGAAGAGUGGAUCUGCACGUGAGGGACCACCCUCAGUUGCUCCAGAUUGUGAAAUAAAUAGAAGCAAUGUCUGAGAAGGCCUGAACAGAAGUUAUCACCCCCAAAAGAGCAAGGCAAUGGAUUUGGACAAGAAAUUGCAUCUCGAGACAGAAUGAAUGAGGAUGAACCAAAGUGAGGCCACAGGGAUGAAGAGCCUUGAUGAGAGGCAGCAGUAUUGACCACAAUUGAUGGGGGCAGGGAUGGAGACUGGCCAAAUUUACAGGAAAGAUGGAUGGUUGGAGUUUCAACCUGCUGACACCCAAAUCAAGCUUCAGUCUAUACAGAAAAUAGCAAAGACCCAAUUAAUGGUGCUGUACACUGAAAACAGCAUCUUUGUGUCAACAGCUUGUGCGUUCUUCCAAAGUCCAAGAGAGAAGGGCCUGAGGCGAUUUCUCUUACUGAUUGAAACCUGAAGAAAGUAAGGACCUUGGAGUUAAAGUUUCCAAGGUUUGACUUCCCAUAUUGUCUCCCAUUUCAGUAUCAUUCAAAAGUACACGUCAAAAAUAAAUCUUACAAAUA
rnacentral:lncRNA from 1 species